rnacentral:rRNA from 1 species
ACAACAGGGAUUGCCCUAGUAACGGCGAGUGAAGCGGCAACAGCUCAAAUUUGAAAUCUGGCUCUUUCAGAGUCCGAGUUGUAAUUUGCAGAGGGCGCUUUGGCUUUGGCAGCGGUCCAAGUUCCUUGGAACAGGACGUCACAGAGGGUGAGAAUCCCGUACGUGGUCGCUAGCUAUUGCCGUGUAAAGCCCCUUCGACGAGUCGAGUUGUUUGGGAAUGCAGCUCUAAAUGGGAGGUAAAUUUCUUCUAAAGCUAAAUAUUGGCCAGAGACCGAUAGCGCACAAGUAGAGUGAUCGAAAGAUGAAAAGCACUUUGGAAAGAGAGUCAAACAGCACGUGAAAUUGUUGAAAGGGAAGCGCUUGCAGCCAGACUUGCUUGCAGUUGCUCAUCUGGGCUUUUGCCCGGUGCACUCUUCUGUAGGCAGGCCAGCAUCAGUUUGGGCGGUGGGAUAAAGGUCUCUGUCAUGUACCUCUCUUCGGGGAGGCCUUAUAGGGGAGGCGACAUACCACCAGCCUGGACUGAGGUCCGCGCAUCUGCUAGGAUGCUGGCGUAAUGGCUGUAAGCGGCCCGUCUUGAAACACGGACCAAGGAGUCUAACAUCUAUGCGAGUGUUUGGGUGUCAAGCCCGAGCGCGUAAUGAAAGUGAACGGAGGUGGGAACCCGCAAGGGCGCACCAUCGACCGAUCCUGAAGUUUACGGAAGGAUUUGAGUAAGAGCAUGGCUGUUGGGACCCGAAAGAUGGUGAACUAUGCUUGAAUAGGGUGAAGCCAGAGGAAACUCUGGUGGAGGCUCGCAGCGGUUCUGACGUGCAAAUCGAUCGUCAAAUUUGGGCAUAGGGGCGAAAGACUAAUCGAAC